UGCACCCAGGAGGAUUGGUCACCAUGGCAGCUGGCCCGGCCACGGAGGCCAGAGGCGGUGGCGGGCCUGGCCCAGCUGUGGAGGCAAGGCCCAGGAGGGGGGAAAGAGGCAAAAGGUACAAUCGGCAAAAACAAGCAAGCCCCAUGUAGAAGACAGCUGAUUCUAUCUAAGGAAUGGAAUGAAGACAAGAUAAUGUUGGAACAAGAGAUGUACUUCAUGAAAUUCAGACUUCAGGGUCUGAAUAGGCUGACAGGGCUAUAUUUUGUGUCAACAUAGAUGCUCUUCUGUGCUGUCCUACAUGUCACUUUAGAAAUGGCAAAUUUGAAAAGUGGCAUGUAGGUCAAGAGAAAUAAAGCGAAAAAUAUUUACAAGAAA